rnacentral:lncRNA from 1 species
AUGUGUCCCCGUGUUCCGACGUCCCCCCACGUUCCCAUGCGUCCCCAUAUGCCCCCCCAUGUCCCCAUAUGCCCCCAUGCCCCCCCAUAUGUCCCCACGUCCCCAUAUGCCCCCCCACAUCCCCAUAUGUCCCCAUGUCCCCAUAGGUCCCCACGUCCCCAUGUGUCUCCAUGUUCUGAUGUCCCCCCACGUCCCCAUGUGUCCCCAUGCUCCGACGUCCCCAUACGUCCCCCCAUGUCCCCACGUUCCGAUGUCCCCAUAUGUCCCCAUCUUCUGAUGUCCCCAUACGUCCCCCCACAUCCCCACACGUCCCCGUGUUCUGAUGUCCCCCCCACAUCCCCAUAUGUCCCCAUGUUCUGAUGUCCCCCCAUGUCCCCAUAUGUCCCCAUGUUCUGAUGUCCCCCCAUGUCCCCACAUGUCCCCAUGUUCUGAUGUCCCCCCCCGUCCCCCGGUGUCGCGACGCCCGCAGCUCAGCUCAGCGCAGCGCAGCGAUGUGCAGCAGCAGUUGGUGCGCAGCUUCAUCCAGGGAGCCCUGCAGCCCACAGAGCCGUGGGGAGCUGUGGGGCACGGAGUGCUGACCCACAGCCCCGCCCCAUAGCGUCAGUGUGGGGCACGGAGUGCUGACCCACAGCCCGGCCCCAUAGCGUCAGUGUGGGGCACGGAGUGCUGACCCACAGCCCGGCCCCAUAGCGUCAGUGUGGGACACGGAGUGCUGACCCACGGCCCCACAGCCCCACAGCCCCGCCCCAUAGCGUCAGUGUGGGGCAUGGAGUGCUGACCCACAGCCCCACAUCCCUGCCCCAUAGGGUCAAUGUGGGGCAUUUUAUGGUCCCGACCCCACAGCCCUACAUCCCAGCCCCAUAGGGUUGGUGUGGGGCACCUUGUGGCCCCGAUCCCACAUCCCCACAUCCCAGCCCCAUAGGGUUGGUGUGGGGCACGUUAUGGUCCUGAUCCCACAUCCCUGCCCCAUAGGGUCAAUGUGGGGCAUUUUAUGGUCCCGACCCCACAGCCCUACAUCCCAGCCCCAUAGGGUUGGUGUGGGGCACCUUGUGGCCCCGAUCCCACAUCCCCACAUCCCAGCCCCAUAGGGUCAGUGUGGGACACCUUGUGGCCCCAACCCCACAACCCGGCCCCACAGGGUCGGUGUGGGGCACCUUGUGGCCCCGACCCCACAUCCCGGCCCCAUAGGGUCGGUGUGGGGCACCUUAAGGUCCCGACUCCACAUCGUGGCCCCAUAGGAUCGGUGUGGGGCACCUUGUGGCCCCGACCCCACAUCCCUGCCCCAUAGGGUUGGUGUGGGGCACCUUGUGGCCCCAACCCCACAUCCCAGCCCCAUUUUGCGCUGGGUCCCCACCUGCGC